AGUGAACGCUGGCGGUAGGCCUAACACAUGCAAGUCGAACGGCAGCACAGGAGAGCUUGCUCUCUGGGUGGCGAGUGGCGGACGGGUGAGGAAUGCAUCGGAAUCUACUUUUUCGUGGGGGAUAACGUAGGGAAACUUACGCUAAUACCGCAUACGACCUACGGGUGAAAGCAGGGGACCUUCGGGCCUUGCGCGGUUGAAUGAGCCGAUGUCGGAUUAGCCAGUUGGCGGGGUAAAGGCCCACCAAGGCGACGAUCCGUAGCUGGUCUGAGAGGAUGAUCAGCCACACUGGAACUGAGACACGGUCCAGACUCCUACGGGAGGCAGCAGUGGGGAAUAUUGGACAAUGGGCGCAAGCCUGAUCCAGCCAUACCGCGUGGGUGAAGAAGGCCUUCGGGUUGUAAAGCCCUUUUGUUGGGAAAGAAAUCCAGCUGGCUAAUACCCGGUUGGGAUGACGGUACCCAAAGAAUAAGCACCGGCUAACUUCGUGCCAGCCGCCGCCGUAA
rnacentral:rRNA from 1 species